rfam:Schistosoma haematobium scaffold575_60, whole genome shotgun sequence.
GUUCAGCAGACGAGUCCCAAAUAGGACGAAAUGCGGGUCGUGAAU